UCUGCCAUGACAGGAGAGAGGGAGGGACGCAGAGCCGGGAAGAGGGGCUUGAGGAAGAUGGAUGCUGGCACUGUUGCCAUGGCAACCACAGUGGCAACCACAAGAUGGGCGAAGGAGGCCUGUUGCCAGGAGUGGUCCCUGCUUUUCCGGGAUUCCUAAGACUUUGAGGGUCUCAAGGAUACAGAGACACAGGACCUGUGGCACACUGAGAGAAGAAGGCAGGGAAUGCCCUCGAUGCCUCCAGAGCCCUACAGAGCACCCAACAAAAGUCUUGUGGAGAGUACAAACAGAUCAGUCACCCCUCUCUCCUGAAGUGUCCAGUCUGAUUCUACAGCCGAGGCUCAGAGAGGGCACCCACACUAACAGCUGGAGCAUCAGAGCCGUCGUCUCCGUAGAGCCUGAGCGGUGUGAUGAGGAGAUCCUUCCUCCAGGUUUUGAUAGUGGAUGCCAGGGACUCAGCCCAUCCUGUUGUCAACCCAAUGCAGAAGACCAUCCACACCUACCCACUGAUCACAGAGGUGGAACAGCCAUUCCCCACAGGCUCAGACCCCUGGGACAGACCUGAUUUGGCUCUCUGUGCACCUGAGUCUCCCAUCUGGCCCCCACAUGCUGCCGCACAGGUUACUCUAUGGAGAAAAUAAAUAUGACUUCCUUAAUAUGGUUUCGCUUAGGUCCCAGCCAUGCGCUCAAGCAAAUCUUCCAUUUAACACCUGACUCUCUUUUCAGAGGGAGCUGGGGAAAUAUUGUUACUGUGUUCAGCUUACUGUGAGGGAUGAGGAAGAUGUCUACCUAGACCCAGGGACUUGGGAAUGUCCCCCGAGAGACCUCGGUAUUCAUAGGCUCCACUGGGGAGGCGGCUGUGUCCUGGGGAAGGAAGUCCCUGCAUAAAAGCCUUCGAAAGACAGAUGUGGUGUGGGGAUGAGCCGGCUAUGUUCUUAUCCACCUCAGGGAGAAGCAAGCUCACCAUCCAGUCAGUGGUAAGCUCUUGGGGAUGUGUGGGUAGCCCUCUUUGGCUACAGCAUGACCUUUAGCAUUUCUAUUUGAGUGAAGAUGUGUUUUAGUUAGUGUUGGGUUUUGCUAGCAACAACGGUUGGUUGUUGGCUUGGACUAUAAGAAUCCAGCUAGAGCUGGCACACUGCCUUUGUGGGCAGAAGUCUGCAUCCAUGGAGCAGUUGAGCCUGCUGAUCUGAGUUCAAAUCUCCAAGCCCUCAUGAAAGUGAAAGUGGAUAUAUGUGUGUGCUUCCCAGUGCCGGGAAGGGUGCUGGGAGAUUUUCGACCAGCCAGUCGAGUUAAAUCGGGGCGCUCCAGGUUCAGUGAGAGACCCUGUCCCAAGGGACUAACAUGGACAGUUACAGAGGAGGCCACCUGAUGCCUUCCUCUGGCCUCCUCAUGAGCGUGUACAGGUGUUUGCACCUUCACACCCACACAACAAAAAAUUAAAAAUAAACAGAAAGAUGUUCUCCCCGUUGAGGCACCGUUGAUGUCUAAUAAAGUGAUAGAUUGAUGAGCUUUAAAAGGCUGAGCACAGAACAGUGUCAUGACCUGUGAGGCCGAUAAACCUCUGUCACAGUGUCCCUGCCCGGUGUCACGGGGCAGAGCCUCCUGGUUUGGAGCCUUUGCGGUUUUAUCUUGUGAGGCACUUUGGGGGGUCUUCCAUGGCAUUUAAUGGAUUCACUGUCGCCUUUUUAAACUAAAGUCUUGAUUUUUAUUUUAUUUUAUUUUACUUUAUGUAUAUGGGUGUUUUGGUCUCCUUGGUGCAUAUACCCAUGGAGGCCAGAAGAGGGCACUGGACUCCCUGGAACUGGAGAAACAGAUGUUCGUGAGCUGACAUGUAGAUGCUGGGAACCGAACCCUUAACCACGGAGCCAGCUCUGCAGCCUUCAUAGCUGCCUUUUAAAAAAAUUACUUAUUUACAAUUUAAAUUUCCUGACUAGUAUUCCACUGGAUGGAUAUGCUGUGGGUCUUCAAAUAAAAUCUUGUUUUUAUUUGUU